CUUCUGAAUAUUAGGUUUAUAACAAAAGCUCAGCCUAGAAAAAUAGCAUUCUUCACCGGAUUUUGAGGAGGAUACAGCUGUACAACUGUAGAUGUUUUCCCAGAUAUAAUCACACUACUGUGCUUACUACUCCCAUAAAAGACCUGUCCACCUAUUACUUUUUAGUAGUCAACUACUGUUUUUUAAAAUUUUGGUGGUGAUGAUAGUCAUGAUUUGGUGAAAACUUGGCUGUAACUGAAAGCAGGAAUAUGAGGGCUUAUUUUCUGUAGCCAUAUACAUGUAGUAUAAGGUGAAAUGUCACCACAGCAUGAACGUACAGUGAAACCUCAUUUUAAUAGUCACAUUAAAAGUCACAUUAGAAUAGUUUGUGGCAUGUAUAGUAUUUAUAUUUUAGGAAUCAAAGGACAAUACAUUGGUAAAUAUUUUUCUCAUACAUUAAACAUGCACGUCACUAUAAAAGCGUCUUAUGAGGUUUCACUGACAUGUUCGCAAUUGUUUAUUUUAUACAUGUAUGUAUGGACAAACACACAACGCACUGAGGAAAUUCAAGCAUGAGUGCUGGAAUCUUUUCUUAUAGUUUAUGUUCCAAUGAUAACUCUUUGUUCCUCUAUCAUUUUCAAAUGUUUCUGUGUGUGUAUAUUACAGACAUCCAUGCAAACACAGUAAUGGAACUGGUGUAUGUCGAUCUGAAUGGGCUAAGGUCCAAAGUAGUUUAAUCCAAUAACUGAAACUUCAUAGAAAUCAACGAAAAAACUUGCUCCAUGCCAAUUUAUAACUUCUGAAUUUCACUGCACUAAAGAAUGGUGUGUUAGUUUCAAAAAAUUGAGUUUAAUGUCUCAGGUGUAUCCAAGAAAAGAUACGACUCAUCUGAGUUCCUGAUAAGCCUGAGCUAAUUAUGUUUUCCACUAAUGAAAACCAAAUAAUGCUUUAAAAUAUAGAACAAAAUUUCCUAGGAGUUCAGAAUAUUCCAUAAACACAUUGACCUACUAUUAAGUUUCCAAAGGCAUCUUGUUGCCAACUACGUUAACAGCACAGUUUUUUUCUGCCACAAUAAUACAGGAGGAUUGAAAUACACUCUAACACACAACAGAUCCCCCAAA
rnacentral:lncRNA from 1 species